CACCUUUUCAGUUGAAACUCCACUUUCCUCCAGUACGACAAGAGUACAGCAAUGGGAAAAAUAUGGUCCCAACCUGAACCGCCACCUUCUCCUACUUUGGCUACACCAUGGAGGAAAAUACAAUGGGGG